rnacentral:lncRNA from 1 species
AUUAUAUAUAUUUAUAUAUUAUAUAUUUACUUAUAUAUUAUAUAUAUUUAUAUAUUAUAUAUUUACUUAUAUAUUAUAUAUAUUUAUAUAUUAUAUAUUUACUUAUAUAUAUUAUAUAUAUUUAUAUAUUAUAUAUUUACUUAUAUAUUAUAUAUGUUUAUAUAUUAUAUAUUUACUUAUAUAUAUUUUAUAUGUAUAUAUAGAGAGAGACACACACACACAAUGUCAGAAUUCAGUAGAAUUACAGGACAACCACCCGGUCCCUGCUGGAGAAUUGCUGGCUUUGGGGGGCCCUGGAGCUCUUGGGCCACUCCCCUGGGGCUUUACUUUCUCACUUGCUGUGGUGUCUUUGCGCUGAGUCACAGCAGUGGACAGCCACCGAGGACCCUCCCCUGUGAAUCUGCGGCACUGACCGCACAACCACCUCUCCUGGGUCCUGGAGGUGAAUCUCCUGUCCCAGUGUGAGCCAAUCACGAGCCCUCAACCCUCAGCAAAGGUGAUGGAUGGGAGACAGUCACAUGACCAAGAGUCCUUACCUGAAUUAGCUGAUAUCAGGAGGGAGACAUUCCUCUUACUGCUGCUGAUGGGAUUGCUAAACUUGGACGAUGAUAACUUGGAGUUUCCAGAACUCAACUUCUUUACAGCAUGAGGGCCUGCUGGAGAAAUGGAGAGAGAAAUAAGCAAGAGCUCUGCCAUCAUCCUUUGAGCUCCUGGAUCCAGCUGAGCCUGAAGCUGUUGACUGGUUAUUUAAGCCAAUGAGUCUCCCAUGUGCUUGAGCUUUCCAUCUGUACCAGUGGAAAGUGUCCUGAUUAAAAGAGCUGGACUGGCUGGGUGCAGUGGCUCAUGCCUGUAGUCCCAGCACUUUGGGAGGCCAAGGCAGGUGGAUUGCUUGAGUCCAGGGGUUCAAGUCCAGCCUGGGCAACAUGGCACAACCUGUCUCUGCAAAAUGAAAAUAAAAAAUUACCCAGGCAUGGUGGUGUGUGCCUGUAAUCCCAGCUACUUGGGAGGCUGACGUGG